rnacentral:lncRNA from 1 species
UGAAAUAAGUGAGUUUUAAUAUAGACAUGUGGACUGGGAGAAGUGGCAUUAACUCGCCCUCAAAUGGCAUGAUUCCUAAUGAAAACAAUAGGCAAGCACUACUGACUCUGUUUGAUUGCUAGACUGUAGAAAGCUUCACAAAGUGGUCGAUGUCUACACAAAUCAUGUUAAAGCUUGUCUUUCAACUGUUUAUUCCUAGAGUAUGAGACCAAAGAACUGAAAGCCAUAGAGGAUGCCUUAACAAAAGAAAUUCAUGUUCACUUGCUUAUCUACGGAUGAUUAGAUAUCUAAAUAACAUGUUUAAGGUGAAUAGCCACCAUAAUCCUUAUUGCAUGGCAAAAAAAAAAAAAAAUCCCUCAUCACUUUCAUCUUUCCAGUUUGACUCUAAUGUUAUUUUGCACUCUCACAUUAGAACAGGAAACAUUUCUCCAUUUUGUUAUUGAAGAAAUACUUAUUAAAUACUCUGUAGGAUGUUUAAAAUAUAAUACAUAUAAAUAUAGCAUUUUCUUUAUUAGCUAGUAAUAACAUAUAAGACGUUAAGUAAGUGCCAAGUCACAGUAAGAAAAACUGUAGAAAAGUUAAUAGUACAAUAUCAAAAAGCUUGGCUUUGAAAUAUGUACCUAAUUUUACCAGAAAGAGAGGUGGGGGGAGAAAGAAAGAAAGAGAAAGGAGAGAGAAAUGAAUGAAUGAAUUAAUUUAAGAAAAGUACAAAAAGGAAGCCUUUGGAUGCUCAAUCAUGGUAGAUGUGCUCCUACUGCUCUUAAGAUUCUGGAUCAGGAAGCAGUGUUCUAGAAUUCUCUGCAGGAGAAGAAACAACCCAGCAGCUGUCAAUCACACACUUGCUUCUGAUUAUGGAUAGAAACUUUCUUCCCACUUCCCAUUCUCCAGGCUGGGAUUUUUUUCUAGUGUGAAAUUGUACAGGUUUUGUUCAUGGAAAGAGAUAUGUUGUAUGCUAAAGUAAAGCACUGAAAUUUUUUAAAGGUCAAGUCAAUGUUUGUUAAAUUUGGGUUGGUGGUUUCUGCAUAAAAAUACAAAUUUCUCUAUCUAGAAGUUGACAGAAUCAUUCAAACUGUACUUUAAGCACACAUGCACAUUGUCCUCAUGAUUUUGAACUGUCCAUUGUUUUUAUUUUGUACUUUUAGAUAGAUAGACAGACAGACAGAUAGGUAGAUAGAUAGAUAAAAACGUGUAACACACUGCUUGAAUAUAUAUGCAUUAUAUAUCUCUAUCUCUAUACAUAUACCUAUCCCUAUCACCUAUACCUAUACCUCUAUCUAUUGAUCAAUAGAUCAAUCAAUCGAUCUAUACAUAGAUAUCAAACCACACAGAAAUUUGAUAGAGAUAAUAGCAUUAUGACUCAGUGCCCAAGUGCUUGCACACACACAGGCUCUAGACUCAGUCCUCAGAAGUACGAAACAAUGUAACCUGACAACAACAAAAAGUUACUGGAUUUUGAAGCUAGAACUUCUUGUAGCAAAAUCUUUGGGGUAUUGAAGAGUUCUUGGAUAGUACCUUUUUCCCAGAAUACUUUGUAUUAGUUAUCUUUUCCCUGAAUACUGGACACAAUCUACUUACA